rnacentral:rRNA from 1 species
UGAGGAAUAUUGCGCAAUGGGGGCAACCCUGACGCAGCAACGCCGCGUGAGAGAGGAAGGUUUUCGGACCGUAAAGCUCUGUCGAGCGGGAAGAAAUGCAUGGUGGCUAAUAUCCAUCAUGCUUGACGGUACCGCUAAAGGAAGCACCGGCUAACUCCGUGCCAGCCGCCGCGGUAAUACGGGGGGUGCGGGCGUGGUUCGGAAUUAUUGGGCGUAAAGUGCGUGUAGGCGUCCGAAUAAGCCAGAUGUGAAA